rnacentral:rRNA from 1 species
AUUGAACGCUGGCGGCAGGCCUAACACAUGCAAGUCGAGCGGAGCGGCGGACGGGUGAGUAAUGCCUAGGAAUCUGCCUGGUAGUGGGGGAUAACGUCCGGAAACGGGCGCUAAUACCGCAUACUAUCAGAUGAGCCUAGGUCGGAUUAGCUAGUUGGUGGGGUAAAGGCCUACCAAGGCGACGAUCCGUAGCUGGUCUGAGAGGAUGAUCAGUCACACUGGAACUGAGACACGGUCCAGACUCCUACGGGAGGCAGCAGUGGGGAAUAUUGGACAAUGGGCGAAAGCCUGAUCCAGCCAUGCCGCGUGUAUGAAGAAGGUCUUCGGGUUGUAAAGUACUUUAAGCUGGGAGGCGUUACCAGCAGAAGAAGCACCGGCUAACUCCGUGCCAGCAGCCGCGGUAAUUC